AGGAGGAACAACUGCAGUGGCGGAGCCAGCUCUGGAGCCCUGGAGUCAGCUCCUGUAGCUCAGGAGCUCUCCGUCUGCAGGGCCUGGAGGCUCCGGGGCGGG
rnacentral:pre_miRNA from 1 species